CUAAUGUUUGGAUUGUUUGUAGAGCUGGGGUUUUGCCAUGUCGCCCAGGCUGCCUUUCUGGCCAUUCUACUGCCUACAUCCCUCCCUACGUCUCUUUUUCUGCCUGGGAAGCCGUUUCAUCUUUUUGAUUUCUGUCUCUUGGACACAUUCAGCUUAUUGGUUUUGACUGUUGUGUGCCAGGGGGAACAUGCUGCUAAUGGUUACCACCUGGGGCCUUGGAAGUUCCGACAGGUGAGGCUGCUUCCCCUCUGGGUCUUCCUGCCAUGAUAGGCUUCGAGAAGCUUCCGCGUUUCCCUAGCUCCUUCCCCAGCUUCUAGAACUGAGGGGGAGCAGGGGCUGGAGACUG